CCGUAGCCUGGUAGCGGGGGAUAACUAUUGGAAACGAUAGCUAAUACCGCAUAACAGUAGAUGUUGCAUGACAUUUGCUUGAAAGGUGCAAUUGCAUCACUACCAGAUGGACCUGCGUUGUAUUAGCUAGUUGGUGAGGUAACGGCUCACCAAGGCGACGAUACAUAGCCGACCUGAGAGGGUGAUCGGCCACACUGGGACUGAGACACGGCCCAG
rnacentral:rRNA from 1 species